rfam:Blautia sp. CAG:257 genomic scaffold, scf189
CACAGUCUAUCUGCUGUGGGCUGAUAAAAUGUAUAUGAGUAUCGAUUCCACCUGCAGUUAAGAUCAUCCCUUCGCCUGCAAGCGCUUCUGUAGAGGCUCCGACCGUCAUCCCUGGUGUGACGCCGUCCAUAGUAUCCGGAUUUCCUGCUUUUCCUAUUCCUGCGAUCCUGCCGUCCUUGAUACCUAUAUCCGCUUUGACAAUCCCUGUAGAAUCUACGAUUAAUGCAUUGGUAAUUACCAGAUCCAGAUCCCCAUCUUUACUGCAGGUUUUUACAGACUGUCCCAUGCCGUCACGAA